rnacentral:rRNA from 1 species
UCCGUAGGCGGAUCUAUAAGUCUGACGUUAAAGAUCUUGGCUCAACCAAGGGAAUGUGUCGGAAACUGUAGAUCUAGAGGUCGGGAGAGGCUGAUGGAACUUCUGGAGUAGGGGUAAUAUCCGUAGAUACCAGAAGGAACACCGAAGGCGAAGGCAGUCAGCUGGCCCGAUUCUGACGCUCAGGGACGAAAGCGUGGGGAGCGAACG